rnacentral:rRNA from 1 species
AGAGUUUGAUCAUGGCUCAGAGCGAACGCUGGCGGCAGGCUUAACACAUGCAAGUCGAGCGGGCGUAGCAAUACGUCAGCGGCAGACGGGUGAGUAACGCGUGGGAACGUACCUUUUGGUUCGGAACAACCCAGGGAAACUUGGGCUAAUACCGGAUAAGCCCUUACGGGGAAAGAUUUAUCGCCGAAAGAUCGGCCCGCGUCUGAUUAACUAGUUGGUGAGGUAACGGCUCACCAAGGCGACGAUCAGUAGCUGGUCUGAGAGGAUGAUCAGCCACAUUGGGACUGAGACACGGCCCAAACUCCUGCGGGAGGCAGCAGUGGGGAAUAUUGGACAAUGGGCGCAAGCCUGAUCCAGCCAUGCCGCGUGAGUGAUGAAGGCCCUAGGGUUGUAAAGCUCUUUUGUGCGGGAAGAUAAUGACGGUACCGCAAGAAUAAGCCCCGGCUAACUUCGUGCCAGCAGCCGCGGUAAUACGAAGGGGGCUAGCGUUGCUCGGAAUCACUGGGCGUAAAGGGUGCGUAGGCGGGUCUUUAAGUCAGGGGUGAAAUCCUGGAGCUCAACUCCAGAACUGCCUUUGAUACUGAGGAUCUUGAGUUCGGGAGAGGUGAGUGGAACUGCGAGUGUAGAGGUGAAAUUCGUAGAUAUUCGCAAGAACACCAGUGGCGAAGGCGGCUCACUGGCCCGAUACUGACGCUGAGGCACGAAAGCGUGGGGAGCAAACAGGAUUAGAUACCCUGGUAGUCCACGCCGUAAACGAUGAAUGCCAGCCGUUAGUGGGUUUACUCACUAGUGGCGCAGCUAACGCUUUAAGCAUUCCGCCUGGGGAGUACGGUCGCAGAUUAAACUCAAAGGAUUGACGGGGCCCGCACAGCGUGGAGCAUGUGGUUUAUUCGACGCACGCGCAGACUUACUAGCCUGACAUCCGUCGCGACUCAGAGACGAGUUCUUCAGUUCGCUGACCGAGACAGUGC